AUUGAACGCUGGCGGCAGGCCUAACACAUGCAAGUCGAGCGGAAACGAGUUAUCUGAACCUUCGGGGAAUGAUAACGGCGUCGAGCGGCGGACGGGUGAGUAAUGCCUAGGAAAUUGCCCUGAUGUGGGGGAUAACCAUUGGAAACGAUGGCUAAUACCGCAUGAUGCCUACGGGCCAAAGAGGGGGACCUUCGGGCCUCUCGCGUCAGGAUAUGCCUAGGUGGGAUUAGCUAGUUGGUGAGGUAAGGGCUCACCAAGGCAACGAUCCCUAGCUGGUCUGAGAGGAUGAUCAGCCACACUGGAACUGAGACACGGUCCAGACUCCUACGGGAGGCAGCAGUGGGGAAUAUUGCACAAUGGGCGCAAGCCUGAUGCAGCCAUGCCGCGUGUAUGAAGAAGGCCUUCGGGUUGUAAAGUACUUUCAGCAGUGAGGAAGGCGGGUACGUUAAUAGCGUGCUCGUUUGACGUUAGCUGCAGAAGAAGCACCGGCUAACUCCGUGCCAGCAGCCGCGGUAAUACGGAGGGUGCGAGCGUUAAUCGGAAUUACUGGGCGUAAAGCGCAUGCAGGUGGUUUGUUAAGUCAGAUGUGAAAGCCCGGGGCUCAACCUCGGAAUAGCAUUUGAAACUGGCAGACUAGAGUACUGUAGAGGGGGGUAGAAUUUCAGGUGUAGCGGUGAAAUGCGUAGAGAUCUGAAGGAAUACCGGUGGCGAAGGCGGCCCCCUGGACAGAUACUGACACUCAGAUGCGAAAGCGUGGGGAGCAAACAGG
rnacentral:rRNA from 1 species